rnacentral:rRNA from 1 species
GACGAACGCUGGCGGCGUGCCUAAUACAUGCAAGUCGAACGAAGCUGUUUUAACUGGUGCUUGCACCGACUUAAACAACUGAGUGGCGAACGGGUGAGUAACACGUGGGUAACCUGCCCCAAAGCGGGGGAUAACAUUUGGAAACAGAUGCUAAUACCGCAUAACCACAGAAACCACAUGGUUUCUGUGUCAAAGAUGGUUUCGGCUAUCACUUUGGGAUGGACCCGCGGCGUAUUAGCUAGUUGGUAAGGUAAUGGCUUACCAAGGCAAUGAUACGUAGCGGAACUGAGAGGUUGAUCGGCCACAUUGGGACUGAGACACGGCCCAAACUCCUACGGGAGGAAGCAGUAGGGAAUCUUCCACAAUGGACGAAAGUCUGAUGGAGCAACGCCGCGUGAGUGAAGAAGGUUUUCGGAUCGUAAAACUCUGUUGUCAGAGAAGAACGUGUGCGAGAGUAACUGUUCGUGCAGUGACGGUAUCUGGCCAGAAAGCCACGGCUAACUACGUGCCAGCCGCCGCAGUAA